rnacentral:rRNA from 1 species
UUAUAUCUGCAAAGAUCUUUAUUCCAGAUCUCAUCUGAUCUCGGAAGGUAAGCAGGGUCAGACCUGGUUAGUACUUAGAUGGGAGAUCUUUAUUCCAAAUAAGAUCACAUUCUAA